AGAAAUCCUCCCUUUCCAUGCCAUGCAAUAGCUGUGGAACCAUUUUGUGGAGGCUGCUAUGGCUCAGUGGCUGGAGUAAGGUUGUUAAGAUACAUAACACAGGCUCAAUUAUGGCCAUAGCUUUGCAAUGUGAAACCACACCACCUCUGGGGACACACUGAGCGCUACACAUUUGAGAGAUCUGGAACACCUGGAGGCUGUGGGCACAGACUAGUACCUCUUUCUGCAGGCUGAUUCCAAGAGGAGGUGGUGUAAGAACAAAGCUCAUUUUGGAUCUGAAAUCCUCUUUUUGCGAGACAGGAGAGGAAGCAUCUGAGAAAAUAUUCAAAGAUCAUGAGGAAGUAGGACAUAAUCCAAGAACCAUUACAGAAAAAAGACUGGUCUUUCACAUUAUUUGAACUCUGAUUUGGAUUUGAUAUAUGUCAAAGUAUAUCUUGGAAAAUUUAAAAAUAAAUAUUAACCUCUUUCUAAACACAUUGGGGAUGGCAGUUGAAUUUGCCUUAAUAAUUAUUACACUAGCAUCCUCUAACUCA